GCCGGGUGUGGUGGCGGGCACCUGUAAUCCCAACUACUCGGGAGGCUGAGGCAUGAGAAUCGCUUGAACCCAGGAGGUGGGGGUUGCAGUGAGCCAAGAUUGGGCCACUGCUCUCCAGCCUGGGUGACAGAGUGAGACUCUGUUUCAA
ensembl:misc_RNA Metazoa_SRP Metazoan signal recognition particle RNA